rnacentral:rRNA from 1 species
AGAGUUUGAUCCUGGCUCAGGAUGAACGCUAGCUACAGGCUUAACACAUGCAAGUCGAACGGGAAACCUUUUAUUGAAGCUUCGGCAGAUUUAGAUUGUUUCUAGUGGCGCACGGGUGAGUAACACGUAUCCAACCUGCCUCAUACUCGGGGAUAGCCUUUCGAAAGAAAGAUUAAUACCGGAUGGCAUAGUUUUCCCGCAUGGGAUAAUUAUUAAAGAAUUUCGGUUGUCGAUGGGGAUGCGUUCCAUUAGGCAGUUGGCGGGGUAACGGCCCACCAAACCAACGAUGGAUAGGGGUUCUGAGAGGAAGGUCCCCCACAUUGGAACUGAGACACGGUCCAAACUCCUACGGGAGGCAGCAGUGAGGAAUAUUGGUCAAUGGACGAGAGUCUGAACCAGCCAAGUAGCGUGAAGGAUGACUGCCCUAUGGGUUGUGAACUUCUUUUAUACGGGAAUAAAGUUAGCCACGUGUGGCUUUUUGUAUGUACCGUAUGAAUAAGGAUCGGCUAACUCCGUGCCAGCAGCCGCGGUAAUACGGAGGAUCCGAGCGUUAUCCGGAUUUAUUGGGUUUAAAGGGAGCGUAGGCGGGUUGUUAAGUCAGUUGUGAAAGUUUGCGGCUCAACCGUAAAAUUGCAGUUGAUACUGGCGACCUUGAGUGCAACAGAGGUAGGCGGAAUUCGUGGUGUAGCGGUGAAAUGCUUAGAUAUCACGAAGAACUCCGAUUGCGAAGGCAGCUUACUGGAUUGUAACUGACGCUGAUGCUCGAAAGUGUGGGUAUCAAACAGGAUUAGAUACCCUGGUAGUCCACACAGUAAACGAUGAAUACUCGCUGUUGGCGAUAUACAGUCAGCGGCCAAGCGAAAGCAUUAAGUAUUCCACCUGGGGAGUACGCCGGCAACGGUGAAACUCAAAGGAAUUGACGGGGGCCCGCACAAGCGGAGGAACAUGUGGUUUAAUUCGAUGAUACGCGAGGAACCUUACCCGGGCUUAAAUUGCAACUGACUGAACCGGAAACGGUUCUUUCUUCGGACAGUUGUGAAGGUGCUGCAUGGUUGUCGUCAGCUCGUGCCGUGAGGUGUCGGCUUAAGUGCCAUAACGAGCGCAACCCUUAUCGAUAGUUACUAGCAGGUCAUGCUGAGGACUCUAUUGAGACUGCCGUCGUAAGAUGUGAGGAAGGUGGGGAUGACGCCAAAUCAGCACGGCCCUUACGUCCGGGGCUACACACGUGUUACAAUGGGGGGUACAGAAGGCAGCUACACGGCGACGUGGUGCUAAUCCCCGAAAGCCUCUCUCAGUUCGGAUUGGAGUCUGCAACCCGACUCCAUGAAGCUGGAUUCGCUAGUAAUCGCGCAUCAGCCACGGCGCGGUGAAUACGUUCCCGGGCCUUGCACUCACCGCCCGUCAAG